GAUGCAGACACUAGCGUGCACCCUUGGUAAGGGUGAGGUCGGUGGUUCAAUCCCACUCGGCAGCACCA
rnacentral:tRNA from 2 species